rnacentral:tRNA from 3 species
GCGCGGGUAGCUUAGUCGGCUGGAGCACCCGGCUGAUAACCGGGAGGUCGCAGGUUCGAGUCCUGCCUCGCGCACCA